rnacentral:rRNA from 1 species
GAUGAACGCUGGCGGCGUGCCUAAUACAUGCAAGUCGAGCGAACAGAUGAGGAGCUUGCUCCUCUGACGUUAGCGGCGGACGGGUGAGUAACACGUGGAUAACCUACCUAUAAGACUGGGAUAACUUCGGGAAACCGGAGCUAAUACCGGAUAAUAUAUUGAACCGCAUGGUUCAAUAGUGAAAGACGGUUUUGCUGUCACUUAUAGAUGGAUCCGCGCCGCAUUAGCUAGUUGGUAAGGUAACGGCUUACCAAGGCAACGAUGCGUAGCCGACCUGAGAGGGUGAUCGGCCACACUGGAACUGAGACACGGUCCAGACUCCUACGGGAGGCAGCAGUAGGGAAUCUUCCGCAAUAGGCGAAAGCUUGACGGAGCAACGCCGCGUGAGUGAUGAAGGUCUUCGGAUCGUAAAACUCUGUUAUUAGGGAAGAACAAAUGUGUAAGUAACUAUGCACGUCUUGACGGUACCUAAUCAGAAAGCCACGGCUAACUACGU